rnacentral:pre_miRNA from 1 species
UGUGUACUCCCUCCGUCCCAAAAUUCUUGUCUUAAAUUUGUCUAAAUACGGAUGUAUCUAGUUACAUUUUAGUGUUAGAUACAUCCGUAUCUAAACAAAUGUAAGACAAGAAUUUUGGGACGGAGGGAAUACUAC